rnacentral:rRNA from 1 species
CCUACGGGAGGCAGCAGUGGGGAAUAUUGCACAAUGGGGGAAACCCUGAUGCAGCGACGCCGCGUGAGUGAAGAAGUAAUUCGUUAUGUAAAGCUCUAUCAGCAGGGAAGAAAAUGACGGUACUUGAGUAAGAAGCCCCGGCUAACUACGUGCCAGCAGCCGCGGUAAUACGUAGGGGGCAAGCGUUAUCCGGAUUUACUGGGUGUAAAGGGAGCGGAGACGGCAGUGCAAGUCUGGAGGGAAAGGCUGGGGCUCAAACCCCGGACGGCUCUGGAAACUGUACGGCUGGAGGGCAGGAGAGGUAAGUGGAAUUCCUAGUGUAGCGGUGAAAUGCGUAGAUAGUAGGAGGAACACCAGUGGCGAAGGCGGCUUACUGGACUGUAACUGACGUUGAGGCUCGAAAGCGUGGGGAGCAAACAGGAUUAGAUACCCGUGUAGUC